UACGUAGGGCGCAAGCGUUAUCCGGAAUUACUGGGCGUAAAGAGCGCGCAGGCGGUCGUUCAAGUCGCGUGUGAAAGCCCCCGGCUCAACUGGGGAGGGUCACGCGAUACUGAUCGACUCGAAGGCAGGAGAGGGUAGUGGAAUUCCCGGUGUAGUGGUGAAAUGCGUAGAUAUCGGGAGGAACACCAGUGGCGAAGGCGACUACCUGGCCUGUUCUUGACGCUGAGGCGCGAAAGCUAGGGGAGCAAACGGG
rnacentral:rRNA from 1 species